UCAGAUUGAACGCUGGCGGCAUGCCUUACACAUGCAAGUCGAACGGCAGCGCGGACUUCGGUCUGGCGGCGAGUGGCGAACGGGUGAGUAAUGUAUCGGAACGUGCCCUAGAGUGGGGGAUAACGUAGCGAAAGUUACGCUAAUACCGCAUACGAUCUAUGGAUGAAAGUGGGGGACCGUAAGGCCUCACGCUCAUGGAGCGGCCGAUAUCUGAUUAGCUAGUUGGUAGGGUAAAAGCCUACCAAGGCGACGAUCAGUAGCUGGUCUGAGAGGACGACCAGCCACACUGGGACUGAGACACGGCCCAGACUCCUACGGGAGGCAGCAGUGGGGAAUUUUGGACAAUGGGGGAAACCCUGAUCCAGCAAUGCCGCGUGUGUGAAGAAGGCCUUCGGGUUGUAAAGCACUUUUGUCAGGAACGAAACGGUGGGGGCUAAUAUCCUCUGCUAAUGACGGUACCUGAAGAAUAAGCACCGGCUAACUACGUGCCAGCAGCCGCGGUAAUACGUAGGGUGCGAGCGUUAAUCGGAAUUACUGGGCGUAAAGCGUGCGCAGGCGGUUGUGCAAGACAGAUGUGAAAUCCCCGGGCUUAACCUGGGAAUUGCAUUUGUGACUGCACGGCUAGAGUGUGUCAGAGGGGGGUAGAAUUCCACGUGUAGCAGUGAAAUGCGUAGAUAUGUGGAGGAAUACCGAUGGCGAAGGCAGCCCCC
rnacentral:rRNA from 1 species